GAUGGUAUUGGCAGUAUUUGUCCAGAUCCCUUCGACUAGUCUCAGCUCUCAUGGGUUUAGGCUACUAUAUGAAAUCUUUGUUCUGUAUAGCCACAAGCACCUCGGCUCUAGAUACAUUUAAAGGAGUGAUUACCUUAGGGAUCCGGGGCUGAUACGACCUCUACUCUUUCCUUUCCCAUGGUUGUCUAUGCAUCUCUGGCCCCCGGUUUUGCCUCCUCUCCUACCUUUCAGGCUGUCUAUCCUCCACUCCCUUUCCUCUGUCCCUCAUCUCUCUGGCGAACUUGCUCGUAGUCAAGGCAUCAUCUUGCCUGAUGUACUUCUCAGCCCGUUUCA
rnacentral:lncRNA from 1 species